rnacentral:rRNA from 1 species
UGCGCAGGCGGUGAUGUAAGACAGAUGUGAAAUCCCCGGGCUUAACCUGGGACCUGCAUUUGUGACUGCAUCGCUAGAGUACGGUAGAGGGGGAUGGAAUUCCGCGUGUAGCAGUGAAAUGCGUAGAUAUGCGGAGGAACACCGAUGGCGAAGGCAAUCCCCUGGACCUGUACUGACGCUCAUGCACGAAAGCGUGGGGAGCAAACAGGAUUAGAUACCCUGGUAGUCCACGCCCUAAACGAUGUCAACUGGUUGUUGGGUCUUCACUGACUCAGUAACGAAGCUAACGCGUGAAGUUGACCGCCUGGGGAGUACGGCCGCAAGGUUGAA